CUACGGGCCGCUGCAGUGGGGAAUAUUGGGCAAUGGGCGCAAGCCUGACCCAGCAACGCCGCGUGAGGGAAGAAUGUCUUCGGAUUGUAAACCUCUGUCCUUAGGGACGAAAAAAAUGACGGUACCUAAGGAGGAAGCUCCGGCUAACUACGUGCCAGCAGCCGCGGUAAUACGUAGGGAGCAAGCGUUGUCCGGAAUUAUUGGGCGUAAAGGGUGCGUAGGCGGUAAUCCAAGUCAGAUGUGAAAGACCCGGGCUUAACUCGGGAGGUGCAUUUGAAACUGGGUUACUUGAGUACAGGAGAGGUAAGUGGAAUUCCUAGUGUAGCGGUGAAAUGCGUAGAUAUUAGGAGGAACACCAGUGGCGAAGGCGACUUACUGGACUGUCACUGACGCUGAGGCACGAAAGCGUGGGGAGCAAACAGGAUUAGAUACCCGAGUAGUC
rnacentral:rRNA from 1 species